GAUCCUGCCGGACCUGACUGCUAUCGGAGUGAGGCUUAGCCAUGCGAGUCAACAUCUGAGGCCAUGUUCAGGUGUGGCGUACGGCUCAGUAACACGUGGCUAACCUACCCUUCAGAUGGGGAUAACCCCGGGAAACUGGGGAUAACCCCCGAUAGGUGAUGAGGCCUGGAACGGUUCAUCGCCCAAAAGAUGUUGGGGACAUGCUUUCCAACGUCGCUGAAGGAUGGGGCUACGGCCGAUCAGGUUGUUGGUGGGGUAACGGCUCACCAAGCCUAUAACCGGUACGGGCCGUGAGAGCGGUAGCCCGGAGAUGGGUACUGAGACAAGGGCCCAGGCCCUACGGGGCGCAGCAGGUGCGAAACCUCUGCAAUGUGCGAAAGCACGACAGGGCCACUCCGAGUGCUGCCCGUUGAGGGCAGCUUUUGGCCGGUGUAGGAAGCCGGCAGAAUAAGCGGGGGGCAAGCCUGGUGUCAGCCGCCGCGGUAAUACCAGCUCCGCGAGUGGUUAGGACGAUUAUUGGGCCUAAAGCGUUCGUAGCCGGUCUAGCAAGUCUUCAGCCAAAACCGACGGCUCAACUGUCGGAUCGCUGAAGAUACUGCUAGGCUAGGAGGCGGAAGAGGCCGAUGGUACUUCUGGGGUAGGGGCGAAAUCCGAUAAUCCCGGGAGGACCACCAGUGGCGAAGGCGAUCGGCUAGUACGCGCUCGACGGUGAGGGACGAAAGCUGGGGGAGCGAACCGGAUUAGAUACCCGGGUAGUCCCAGCUGUAAACGAUGCGGAUUAGGUGUUGGAUAGGCUUCGAGCCUAUCCAGUGCCGCAGUGAAGACAGUAAGUCCGCCGCCUGGGGAGUACGGCCGCAAGGCUGAAACUUAAAGGAAUUGGCGGGGGAGCACCACAAGGGGUGAAGCCUGCGGUUUAAUUGGAUUCAACGCCGGG
rnacentral:rRNA from 1 species